UGGGCGACCCUCAAAUAAGUCCGGAUGAUUGCAAACUUUACGAAGUUGCAUUAUAAUGCUGAUCAUCCCAAAAAAGUUAGCACUAGCAAGGGUAGCUUGCGUCUCCGAGCUCGCAAUGAAGUCCUCGUACAAAUUACGCUGCCUCUUUGAAAGCCUACAAUAGAUGACAUGUUCAUGUUUCAUUGGCAGCUGCUUCUCCACAUCCCUUUUCAGUCGACGAAGUAGAAAUGGACGAAGAACAUUAUGCAAACG
rnacentral:misc_RNA from 1 species